UACGUAGGGUGCGAGCGUUGUCCGGAAUUAUUGGGCGUAAAGAGCUCGUAGGCGGCUUAGUAAGUCGGGUGUGAAACCUCCAGGCUCAACCUGGAGACGCCACCCGAUACUGCUGUGGCUAGAGUCCGGUAGGGGAGCGUGGAAUUCCUGGUGUAGCGGUGAAAUGCGCAGAUAUCAGGAGGAACACCAGCGGCGAAGGCGGCGCUCUGGGCCGGUACUGACGCUGAGGAGCGAAAGCGUGGGGAGCAAACAGG
rnacentral:rRNA from 1 species